UCAAGGAAUAGUUUAAGGUAGAAUAUCAGCUUUGGGUGUUGAUGGUGGGGCAGGUGCCUCUUCCUUG
rnacentral:tRNA from 1 species